GGAAAAAAAAAAUCGUCUUGGGUAACUAAAUCUUGGGUAUUAGCUGAUAAGAAGAGGUGUCAGAGGUGUUAUGAAACAAAUCAGAUGAAUAAUGGGCGAACUGUUAUCGCUUUCACAGACCGAAGGCGCGGCGGGCAGAGCGGCCUUCUCACCCCCUUCCCUUCACUUGUCGGGAAUUGGGGCAUUUUUCAGUCGCAUCUUCGCCCUUCUUGGGGGCGGCCUUAGAUUGCCGGCAGCUGUCUUAGAUCAGAGCUGUUUAUUCCACAGCGAAACCACUUUGGAUCGAGACGAGGGAGAGAGCGCAGAGCGGGGGCACCCUCCCGAGCCUUUGAAGCGCCUCUGGUCGUUCGUUCUCUUCUGCUCGGCAAAGUCCAAGCCCUCCACUCUCGUCACAACGCAGAGCCCCGAGAUAAGAGAAGCGUCCUGCACACGAGCACGGUCACACGUCCGAAGUAACAGCGGACCUCCUCUCGCGUUUCCGAAGCUCGGGUGCUCGACGCCGCUAUCCGCCCCAUCCAAAGCGGUUUCUUUCCCCCUUCCCCGCUCCGCUUUUAGAAGAUAUUUCUUUAUUUGGUCAAGGAAUCCUAUCAGCGUCAGGAGAAAAGUUGUGGUUCUAAUUCUCUUAACGUAAGGAGGGGAGAGGGGAAAGAAGCUUAUCUCCCCGCUUUUUAUUUUAUUACUACUAUUGUUGUUGUUUUCAUUGGACACCGACUCGAGCACAUCGUAGCGAAUUUAGAUGCACUUGCAGGACGGGUUGUAGAGUCCACCUUCGGCAUAGGAAGGCCCUUGCGAAGCGCGGGGUGCCGAGAUGAUACAUGCAGCUCCGGAGGCUGUGGGAACCCGAGUCGGAAGCCAGCUUGCUUUUGCUUCGCUUCCCACCGCCAUCCGCUUUCCAAUCCGCGUAAAAGCCUUUUGGUUUUGUCUUAAAAGGCAUCUGAGAACCAACCGUUCGGAAUAAGCAAGGAGUGUGUGAAGGGGGAAUCACCCAAACCUGUAGGAAGCUGGAAUUGGCCCUCUGCGCUUCGACAGCGAAUAGCAGCCACCAGGGAAAGUCACUUCUGGGGUGACAGUCAUCUCAUCCUGAAGCAAAUGUAUAAACUAGGUCAGAUAAAACUUUACUUGCAAUAAAAGGAUCUGGAAGGAGACUGGCUGAGGCAUCAAUUUCGACACUGAAGAGGUCUACGUAUGGACUGGAAAGAAGUGUACAAGCAGCCACUCCUGAAACACAUCAGAAACUCUGCUUUCAGCUUCUCUUCUGGCAAUGCUGGAACUUCCAGAAGAGUCGUUGAUGCCUGCCUAAUUCUGCUGAAGCAAUCAGGAGAAGAUUCAGAUCGGAAUUACUACCAGCAGUGGAAGGGGAGAACUAGAAACAGAAGGGAGAUAUGGAUUUCCAUUCCUACUUCCAUCCACUGUAUGCUGUGGUGAGCACCAGUGCAGUUACUAAAACCCAAUGGUGACAUCGAUGGCUGAAUGUUGUUCAUGGAAGUGGCUUUAUGAUCUAGACUCACAGAGUGCUUGGUCUUCUCAUCUGCUUCCUGAGAUUUGUCUUUUGGGAUUGUUCUUUACUUCCCACGUUCAAAAGUGAACUGGGCAGCCACAUGCAUUUCUUUUACUGAACCCAGAGUAGAGAUAAGCUGUUAUUAAUUUAUUAUGGGUUUCUUCAUGAAAUGAAUACAUUUCUUUCAGCUAUUUCUUUCACUAGUUUAGAACUAAUAUAUUGCCAACACUAUUUUCCUGUAGAAAAAAGGACUGGAAGAAAUGGUACAAAAUCCAUAGCAGAGAUAGAUCCAGGAGCCAACUGCCUUCAUUUGUUUAGAUUCACUGUAGAACUCAGUGUAAUUAAAUCUGCUCCCGGUUCAGUAAGAUUGAUGGAGGAAAGAAACCUAGGAAACUUCAGGGAGGGAGAAGAGAGGUUGCAAAAAUCACCAGAUGGCGCUGGUAGAUACGGCGUGCCAGAACAACACAGGCUGUGAGCACUUCUCUGCCUCUGGACCAAGGCAACUUUAUGGCUGGAUUGCAUUGCAUGAUCUGAACAUAUGGUGCUAUGCAUUGGUGGUUUUCAUUUGGUGGUCUCCCCAAACAUAUUGCACAUAUUAUGUGUUGUACAUUUUCAGAAUUAAGAAAUAAAGUAAAAUUCAGAAAUAGAGAAUUCACACAGUUACACAUACUCCUUGGGUCCAAAAGCAAUUUAGAAAUAUAGAGUGCUGUGGUUUAACCCCGACAGGCAACUAAGCAACACACAGCUUCUUGUUUACUCCUCCCAGGUGGGAUGGGGGAGACAACUGGAAAAGAAAAACAGUGAGUACUCAUGUGUUUGAGACAAAGACAUUUUACCAGGUAAAGCAAAGGCUGUAUGCAACAAGCAAAGCAAAGAAUUCAUUCAGUACUUCCCAUCAGCAGGCUGCUGUUCAUCCAGUUCCAAGAAAGCAGGGCUCAUCACAGCAUCAUAGAAUCAUAGAAUGGCUUGACUUGAAAGGGACCACGAUGAUCAUCUAGUUUCAACCCCCCUGCUAUGUGCAGGGUCGCCAACCACGCACGCUUCAUGGUUUACUGGGAAGAAAAAUGCCAUGCUAUCACUCCGUAUAUCCUCCCUUUCUCCUUCUUUACCUCAUCUUUUAUUGUUGAUCAUGAAUCCAUACAGUAUGGAAUAUCCCUCUAGCUAGUUUAGAUCAGCUGUCCUGGUUCUGCCCCCUCCCAGCUCCUUGUACUGCCCCAGCCCCUCGCUGUCAGGGCAGCAAAAGAAACUGAAACAUCCUUGGGUCUGUGUAGUACUGCUCAACAACUAAAACACUGGUGUACUAUCACCACUGUUUUCAUCAAAAGUACAAAACACAUAAUGCAAAUUAACUCUAUCCCAGACAAACCACGUAACAGGACUAUCACUAGGGUUGGGAUGGCUCUUUUUCUUCCUCUGUAUAAAUACAUGAGGACAUUCUUCAUGUUUGGUUUUAAAUAAAAUUGUAGGGGUUUUGUUUAGAAACAUCAUAAUUUUGGAAAAUGUCAUACAGAAAUUUGAGAGAUCCUCUUUUCCUUCUGUUUGAGAAAACUGAAAACAUUAAUUCAUUUUUGACUCUUGGUAGCACAUCUUUAUUUAUUCUUUUUUUUUUUUUUAAUUUUAAAUAUGGUUUGCUAUAGUAAUUAACUUAUAGCAGAAUUCUUCCAGAACAUUAAAAUGAACAUAUGCCCCUUCUUUUUUUCCCCAUUCCUUAACAGUCUGUUCUUUUCUAAUCACAACUGGUUGGGGAAUCUGACUUCUUUUUCCAAAUCAGUGCACUGAGAAAAGUUCUACCCCUUAUAUUGUUACAGUCUCUGAUUCUUAUGUGACCCAACUUGAUCCAAUUUAGUUUGUAGAAUUUGAGAGGAUCACAGCUCAAAGGGCAGUGCUAAGUGGACUGUCUAAUUUUAACUCUUUGAUGACUUCAGAGAUGUUGCUUUGUAGGCCAAUACACACAUACCCAUCUGAGGUAGCAUCAGUAAGGUGCAGAACAACGUGGCUCUGCUCCAGCAAAGCACUUAACCAGUCGUUCAGCGUGGAGCCCCAGGGCUGAAGUGAAGAGGGAGGUACUGUGACAUGACUUGCACUAUGAACUGCAUUUAGAUUUAUGGCUAGUGUUGAUCUGAAAAUCAGGAUAGUUAAUCCAAACAUAGUGUUUAUUUUGCACUGAAAAGAGUUAUUCACAAAGGUUAACCUAACCUAAUAGAGUCACUCCCAGAGGCUCUCUGGGUAAGCCCAUCUUGCUACGCUCAUUGUAGAGGAUGUUUAGAGAGAUUAAUCUUGUGACGAUAAAGUGAGCCUUUGUGAAAACCCUUCCAAAUGUCAUGCACAUAAUAUUUUUCUGACCUACUACAUCUCUUGGACUCUGCAUAAUAUUUCUAAAAUGCUCUAAACCAUUCCAACAUUUUGGAAAGUGUUACCUCUCUGCUUAAUCCUCAGGUGGAUGGUGUAAUAUCUGAAACUGUGUUUAGAGCUGAAGCUUGCUUUCAAUGCUGGUGUUAACCACAGCUUUAUGCUUGAAAGUUUUCAAUUGUUCCCCUGGUUUAUUGACUGAAGUGUACCACUGACACAUCUGUGGAUCAUAUGAUGUUGAUUCUUUCAGUGACAGCUUCUGCAAAAGUGAUACACUUUUCCAAGUUGUUAAAGUAGCUUUAUGGUUUUCAACUCCCCUGCUUCACCUCAGUCAAAUGCAGGAACAAAGUUUGUGUUGAACAAGUGAAUACUAAGAUAUUAAUAUGGACAGUGAGUGUACAACAAAUGUACAAUCUGGAUGAUAUUAUAGGUUAAAAAUGAUGAUACGUGACCCUAGGAUAUUUUGUAAUAUAAAUCCAUGCAAGACUAUGUAGGAGACGGUCCUUUCAAACUGUCUUUGUGUUCUUGAUUUUAGAGCUUUUUAAGGCCUUCAAAAUGUGCCUAAUCUUGUUUUGUGUGUAGAACUAAACAGAGGGUUAAUCUUUUCGGGUCACUAGCAGUCAUAAUCCUAUGACAUGAAGAACAGAAAAGGAGAAGGCAACAUCUAAAAUCUCAGCAGAUAGGGCUGAAGAUGAUUGACAGCAACUUUCUUGGCCCUGGAGAGUGGCCAGAGAAGGGUAACAAAGCUGGUGAGGGGUCUAGAGCACAGGUCUUAUGAGGAGUGGCUGAGGGAAUGGGAUUGUUUAGUUUGAUGAAGAGGAUGCUCAGGGGAGACCUUAUCGGUUUCUACAACUACCUGAAGGGAGGUUAUAGUGAGGUAAGGGUUGGCCUCUUUUCUUCUGUAACUAGUGAUAGGACGAGAUGGAAUGGCCUCAAGUUGCACCAAGGGAGGUUCAGUUUGGAUGUUAUGAAAAAUUUAUUCUCUGAAAAAGUGCUCAGGCUCUUCAGUGGGCUGCCCAGGGAGGUGGUUGAGCUGCCAACCCUGGAGAUGUUCAAGAAAAGUUAAGAUGUUUUACUAAAGGACAUGGUUUAGUGGGGCAAUGUUAGUGGUAGGUGAACAGUUGGACUAGAUGAUCUCAGAGGUCUUUUCCAACCUUGGUGAUUCUAUGAUUAUAUCAGACAUGACACAUGAAUGUGCUGUGGUAAAUAAAGGAUAUCAAAGAAAGAAGACAAAGCCUAGCAGGUUAUAAGCACCUCCCUGUCCUAUGCAUGAAUUCUGAUUACUUGUGACUGGAUCUGUUCAAGACAGUUUUCCAGUGCUUUGUCUGCACAGUUCAUUCUGCAUAAAAGGUGUAAUUAUUUCUGUCAGCAGAUAACUCUGCAUUGAGCAUUGCUACAAAUAAAUUAUUUAUUUAACAAACACAGCCCUUUAAAGAAUGAGGAUUAUGCAGUGUUCUUUGUCCUACCUGAUUUACUCUCAUGUAAGUUCAGACAGCAACUUUAAAUUCAUCUCCAUCUGCCUGAACCACACUUAAAGCAAAGAGAAAAAUAUAUGUGAUCAAAGUAAUGACUUUCUCCUUCUGUGUGAAAUAGUAAACUAUUUCCUUUCAUAUGCUGAAACAGGAAAAAUACAUCUUACACUUACUUUGUCUUGAUCUUAGAAUAAAUUCACAAUUUUUAAAAAGUCAAUUGAUACGCAAACACAGAAACCAAUGUACCACUAACAGUAAACUGAUUUCUUUUUUCUAUGUAUUUUCUCUUCAAUGCAUUACAAAAGCAUCUGAUUUUUUAUCAUGCUUAGUUCAUUAAUGAUUCUGUGGAAGCAGGGCCUUGGGAAGCAUCUGUGCCAUUUGGAUUGCACAGUUGUGGAAGUUACUUGCUACCCAGAAGGAAAGUUUCAAUUGACCAUCAUAGAAAGGGAACUAUUUCCCAGGAGGAAAGAGUCCAUUCAUAUAAAGUUCAUGUCCUCCAGUAUAUCUGCUGGUCACACACACAGAAGAUAAAAAAUAAAAUAUAAAAUAAAAUAAAUGUAAAAUAAAAAUAAUAAAUGUACAUAUAUCCUGGAAAGAAAGAUCCUUGCAAUACCUAUUGUAGAUGAGCAAUUUGCACAAUGGUGGUGAAAAUGAAUGGAGUAGGAUGUGAUCCGUUCUCCAGCUCAUUCACAUCUGUCAUCAUCUUCCAAAGUACAGCAUCAGUCUAAAGUAGGAGUCCUGUUUUGAUUCAUAAUCAAGACCUACAUUUUAGUUUUAG
ensembl:lncRNA